CAGAGUUGCAAAAACUCCCAAACCAUUGUGAACCUACCUCACCGUUGCUUCGGCGGGUGGCCCGGGGCAACCCAGGCCGCGCCCGGCACCCUUCUUCGGGGGGGCCCGGCAAGCCCGUCAGAGGACCGAAAACCCCGUAAUUACUGGCCUCUUCUGAGUAACUUAUACAAUAAGUCA
rnacentral:misc_RNA from 1 species